GACGAACGCUGGCGGCGUGCUUAACACAUGCAAGUCGAACGGAAAGGCCCUGCUUUUUUGGUGUGCUCGAUUGGCGAACGGGUGAGUAACACGUGAGUAACCUGCCCUUGACUUUGGGAUAACUUCAGGAAACUGGGGCUAAUACCGGAUAGGAUCCCCUGCUGCAUGGUGGGGGUUGGAAAUUUUCGGCGGUUGGGGAUGGACGCGCGGCUUAUCAGCUUGUUGGUGGGGUAGUUGCUUACCAAGGCAUUGACGGGUAGCCGGCAUGAGAGGGUGACCGGCGACAUUGGGACUGAGGUACGCACCAGACUGCUACGGGAGGCAGCAGUGGGGAAUAUGGUACAGUGGGCGCGAGCCUGAUGAAGAAACGCUGCGUGUGGAAUGACCGCCUUCGGGUUGUAAACCGCUUUCGGCUGUGACGAAGCGUGAGUGACGGUAAUGGGUAAAGAAGCACCGGCUAACUACGUG
rnacentral:rRNA from 1 species